GUCGUGUCUUGUGACUCUCAAACAAAUAUUAGCCCUUGUAACCCUAAAACCCCAGCCUACGCUGAUCAAACAGCGAGUUCGGCGUCGUUUCGGUGAUCGAACCAUGUCGGAGACGAACUCCACGUACCCAAAGAGGCCACACAGAGCAUAUGGUGUGCCCUACUGUCCCCUUCAGCCUAGCAAGUCCUUGAAAAGAUUGGGGUUGUUCACUGUUGGUGUCACUCCUACUUGUCGUGCAGCCGCAUCCUUUUGCAAGGCAUCUUGGAGGCUCGGGCCCUUCAUUGAAGCCACUGCAGCUGCUCCUUUGCGGGAGCCCAUCGAAUUAACAUCACCUAGAGUGGGAUCGGUGGACACACUAGUCACUCCGGUUGGUACAUCAUCUGAGAAGAUUGACAGAAGGCCUGGUGCUUUGGAAGUGCUGGUAGCCGGAGUUCCAGAAAGCACCGGGGCAGCCGAUGCU
rnacentral:misc_RNA from 1 species